GACAGAGGGUGCAAACGUUGUUCGGAAUUACUGGGCAUAAAGAGCACGUAGGUGGUGCGCUAAGUCACGUGUGAAAUCCCCCGGCUCAACCGGGGAAUUGCGCGUGAUACUGGCGGACUCGAGGCGGGUAGGGGUGAGCGGAACUCCAGGUGGAGCGAUGAAAUGCGUAGAUAUCUGGAGGAACACCGGUGGCGAAAGCGGCUCACUGGACCUGAACUGACACUGAGGUGCGAAAGCUAGGGUAGCAAACGGG
rnacentral:rRNA from 1 species